rnacentral:sRNA from 1 species
CUAUUUAACCAAUAAGAAGAAAAAUGGCAAGAUCCUGGUUCUCAAUAAACUUUUGGUUUAAGGUUAAGGAUGUAGCUCAUUCAUGGAACCCUUACCUUGGGUUCGAUUGCAAUACUACAAGUUGAAAAUAUCAAAGAAUAAAAUGAGCCUGCUAUAAUCUCAAGUUAUACCAGGUAAUUUCAAGGAUACCAGGUUAACCUGGAUACUCAGGUUGUCUGGUACCACAAACACUAACGAAAAGAACAAAUGAAUGCAUAAGUUAGGAUUUAUUAAGAGAGGUAGUGAUCUGAGGAGAGAGCUUGUUCUCACCAUAAAAGCAAUGUGCCUUCUGCCUCACCUCUAGCCAGCAGGCCUUAUAGAAAGGACAAAAGCAGGCCAUUCUCCCAGAGCUCAGGUCUGCCACUCUAAUUAGGGCAACCACACGUCUUAGACGUGCGGUAUGUGCAUCUCUUUAGUUUAUACUAUUUGACUUGCAUCCAUUCUGCUCUAGACACCAAGAGUUCAGCUGCUUCUUAUAACACUCACUCUAAUUUGUAUCUGCCAGUAUCGAUCCUAUUUGAACAGGAGGGGUGUC